rnacentral:tRNA from 1 species
AGGUUAUAGCUUAGUGGUAGAGCACGUGCCUAUUAGCAUGCUCGAGGUCCUGGGUUCAAUCCCCAGUACCUA